rnacentral:lncRNA from 12 species
GGAAAAUCUGUUUUGUCUUUCAUUGUUUCUUCUUCCUGCUAUUUCAGGAACCUUUCUAAAUUUUACUUCUCCUGUUCAGCUUGUUUCCAGAGAUGGCUAUCUCCCCUCAGAUCCAGCAGAGCAUCAUUGCAUCCCUGAAUGCAGCCUACUGCUGGACACUAUUUCCUGCUGCUUGAGCUACCUCUUCAUACAACUCCACUGGAUCCCUGCUCUACAGCGCCAUCCCAGGUAAUGAGAGAUGACUACUCUGGCAACUCCCAGUGGCUGUUUUUUGGCAGCAGCAGCCCCAGGAGAAGGCUAAUGGAGGGACCAGGGCAAGACAGAUCACGAACCUGGAGUGCACGAGUCUGAUGCACACCUCUGCAAGUCAAGGUGAGGCUCCUCUCCACUAGCAGCAGUGAUUGUUUGGCCACAAGAAACC